UCCUCAGACCAGCAUCCUCCUCACUCUCUUCGGUCUGCAAUUAGGGUUUUUCUUGCGGCCGUCAUAGCCGAUCGACCGCCCAGCAUCCUAAAUCGAUUAUCAGUUAUUGUUGGGUUUUUGAUUGUUCCGAGUUAGGGUUAUCCAUCGGACUAUUGACCACUGGGGCUGAAGUUUGGCUCCUCGGCUUCUAUAAACCGCCGUGCCUUGGAGAUGAAUGCAGCUCCUAUACCAAUCAGUCGCCCUUUCUUCACCCAAUUCGCCACGAUCUCCAUGUCCGGUAGUAUCUGGUGGGUUCGUUAGGAAGGCUGACAUUUUUCUUUCUUAAAUUUGGAUUUCCUUGCUUUUCCUUUUUUGAUUCAUAUAUUGCGGUGGUGGGGGAGCGGGGGAAGGAAUCGAGAAUCGAGUGGUAAUUCAGGCAACCUCCCUGCGGCGGCCAUGGCAGGGAAGGUGUUUAACUGCUCGGAAAUCGAUUUGCUUUUGCUCUUCAGACUUGCUGAGAUUGCUCUCUGAAGCUGGUCUAGUAAGCUCUAGUACAUCUUUUACAUCCCUUUUCUCCCCCUUACCAAACCAAAGGGAAAAAUCCCAUUUUUUUCCACCAGUUUGUCAUGAUUUCUGAAAUUUUUAUCUGAUCUGAUUUAAGGAACUGCAAAAUCUUAAGAAGAUUAACGUUGACAGAUCAAUAUUGAAGUUGUCAGAGAAGGAGAGAGCUGAUUUUUAUUGUAGGACUAGGUGUAGUUAGUUGCUGCCCUGUGGCUCGCGGUGACUUUGUCGAUUGACGAUAGUUUUUUUAUUGAGUAAACUAACAAUUUUACCAUGGAGAUUGAUGUGACAUACCUCAAGAAAUUUUUACAGUUAAGUGUACCUCUACUGUUUGGGUGCUGUUCAAUACUGAAAGGAAAUAUCUUAUGUGAUUAUUUUUUUAUUUUUUUACGUCAAUUUUGAUCUCGACUUAUAAAAUAUACAUUAUAUUGCUCCUUUCGUUAGAGAGCUUCAUCGAGUUUUUAAUGGUAGAUGGACAAAAGGGAGAAUAUGACUUACAUUUGAUAGGUCAACAUCAAUUGAUGUAAAAUUAUUUUUGAUGUCAAAUUUGAUAUGAUAUUGAUUUUUUUUGGGAAAAAUUAUUAGUUUACUCGUUUUUUAUUCAAUUCAUUGGCGAAAGUCGAUUAUGAUAUAUGGAGAAUCACUGUAAGAUGGAGCAUCGAGCAUACCGUGUUCGGUUUCAAUUGCCUGCAUGAAUUCGAUCAGCCCUCAGCCCGAGUUGAAGCCGUGCAGGGAAAUUGCGGAUUGAUCAUUAACGUGAUUUCUUUCAAAAUAGAUCUUGGAGGGAAAAGAUGUGCGGAAGGAAUUUUCUGGCAUCAUGACACAUUCCAUUCGCAUUUUGAUCCUUGGCUCAAAACAUGUGCAUGUCUGAUUGUGCGUCUAACUGCCUAAAGUCUCUUCAUUGUGGCUGUGUUGGAUCUAUUUAAUGGUGUUCUUGACUCUUCACUGCUAUGGAAGGGAAUAGUUCAGUUCUAAUCUACGCGGCAAACUGCGACUCAUCAUAGUCAAGGACUCGAUUUCUGACCUUUCCAGGAUGAUAAACUCAAGGCGCGUCCACUCCGCAUUCGAUGGAUGCUGUGCCGUUAUAGGAUGCUCAUCCAAUCCCGAACUCUAUGAUCAGAACUGUCCUACCAACAGGAUAGGAAAGACUAGACAUUGUUUCGAAUAAAUCGAUCUAAUGAGAAGUGCACUUUGGGAAUGAAUCAGCAAGCCCCACACUGAUUAAUUAGAAAUCACACCCUGUAGUUUUGGAUUGUGCAUAAUUACGAGAAAAUAUUUAAUGAUUAUUCAUUCAUUUUGGAUGAGUAAGAUUCAAUUAAAAUGUUUGUAAGUGAGAAUUAUUCAUUGCGUAAUCAGUUUUUCAUUUUUAAAUAUUUUCAUUGGAUAUUACACAUUCAUUUGGAUGUGUAAUACUCACUUCAUAUUCGCUCAAUAUUUGCCAAAAUAUGAGUCCUGUUUUGCUAAACCUUCAGGUCAAGUCCAAGCUGAAAUUGAAGUUCAAGUACAAAAUAGCAAAGCCGAGUCUGGCAUUAUUUAUCUAUUUAUUUAUUCUUAUUUUUCUGUCGUCAAUGUUCUGGAUAGGUAGGGGGUUAUUUUUUCUUUUAUUUUUUUUAUAUUCACCAAAAUGGGCUGAUCUUGUACUAAUAAGGUCUCAUCUUGAAGUUCAUCACCUUCAAGCGGGCCUAUCAUUCACAGUCAUGAGAGGAUUCUCACGUGAAUGAAAGGCAUGACUUAAAUGAACUUCUCAGAAAUUAGAAUAUCCAUUUUCUAUCAUUAAAUACUGAAAUUUGGGUGAACUUUAAUGAUCCAUGUGAUUUCAUAAAUGGAUAGCCAUAUUUUUUUUUUUUGUAAUUUUUUCAAAUUUCGAAUAUUUGUCAUUCCUAUUUUUCUGGUUGUGGCUAGGGGUGUGUACGGAUACUGAGUAUAUCCGGAACCGGUCGGAACCUACCCGUUAGGAUAGAGUCCACGUAACUCGUAUUGAAAAUUGGGUAGGGUUCGAGUAUUAAAAUGAGGAACCAGUUCCGAUUCUUGAACAUAGGGUAUCCAGAACCGGAAUCGGAAUCCGAUUACUAAUUUAAAAAAAAUAUAUAUAUAUAUAUAUAACACCUUCGCCUCCUCUGUCGUUCUCACUCUGUUCUCGCCGACUCUUCUCUCCAUUCCCCUUUCUCGAUUUUUCUGAGCUAAGCUCCAAUCCUACCCAGGUUUUCGUUUGCCGGCGUCUAGUUCUUCGAUCUCACGGUCGCCCCUGGCUGGUCAGGUUGUAGGGAGACGCUUCUUCACUCUCCUUCAGGGUUGUAAUCCGAUUCCAAUGGUUGCUGAUCCAGAAGUAUUUGUGGUUCAACUAAGAUCAUAUCACUUGUUCUUUGUCGUUGCGAGUGAUGGUGUCUUUGAGUUCUUUUCGAGCCAAGCUGUUGUCAACAUGAAGCCCGGCAAUUGUGAUCCCAUCACAUACACAUCAUCAGACUUUGCAGAUGGUAAGUAUAUGGAGACUCUAAUUUCGCACUGCAGCCCUUUCUAUGGGACAACAUUUACUCAUGAAUUUAAUUCUUGUAGAUAAAAAAUUGUGAAAGAUAGGGUUGUCUUUCGAAUAUGCCUGCACAUAUCUUUCUUAUGUUGAAUAUGAAUAUUUGGUUGGUCACAAGAUGGGGGCUAAGAGCUGUUCGAUCAGAAUUCUGAUUUGUUACUUUUGGCAAGGCUGCUAUUUCAUCCUCUGUUGACUACAUUCUUUGUCAACACUACGAGUCGGAGGACUCAUUUCUCUGCUAUGGCCUUGCAAUUUCCGUAACUGUAUAGGACAUGAAUAGAUCAUGAGAGAAGAGAGUAAGAACUCCCAUUUGGUUAGUUUCGGGAGGGGAGAGGGGUUUUGUGAGAUUGUCAUUCCACUACUAGAUCAAUGUGUAUUCAUUUAUGCUGAAUUCGGGCAGUACUGGUAGAUUAUGUCAUUCCACUACUAAAAAAAAUUUACAGGUUCCAAUAGGGUACCCGGAACCUGUGACAUAAUAUAGGUUCCGGUUCCAUGAUUCAAUAGGAUAGGGUCCGAUUCCAAAAUUUUGGAACAUGUACCUUACAGGGUAGGGUCCGGGUAUUGUGAAAAAUACAGGGUACCCGAACCCGAUCACCCCUAGUUGUGGCAAUUAACUAAGUAUCUAGUGUGAUUACGAUGACGCGACACCAUUAAAUAUUAUUUAAUAUUUUAAAAAUUAUAAAAUUUAAUCGAAAAAUUCUAAAAAGAAAACUAAAAAUAGAAAAAAGUGGAAGCAGUAGGAGGAGACUAGCA